CCCUUAGAUGUUCUGGGCCGCACACGCGCUACACUGAAGGAGGCAGCGUGUACUCCUGGAUCGAAAGAUUUGGGUAACCCGCGAAUCUCCUUCGUGCUAGGGAUCGAGGUUUGCAAUUAUCCUUCAUGAACGAGGAAUUCCCAGUAAGUGCAAGUCAUAAGCUUGCGCUGACUACGUCCCUGCCCUUUGUACACACCGCCCGUCGCUACUACCGAUUGAAUGAUUUAGUGAGGACUUCGGACUGGGACCGAUGCGGCUUUCGGGCUGCGUCGGUAUUCUGGAAAGAUGUCCAAACUGUAUCAUUUAGAGGAAGUAAAANUCGUAACA
rnacentral:rRNA from 1 species